AGCGCCCGGGAGCGGGCCCGGCCUGCUCCGCGGGAAAGGCACGCGUCCCUGGACCGGACCCCAAAGGCGCCCCGGUUCCACGCCCUGCACAGGGACACCUUCCGCUACACCGGGGGCUCAAAGCCUCAUCCAGCCUGGCCUAGGAACGCUGCCAGUGAUGGGGCAUCCACGGCUACCCCAGCAACCUCACAGGGAAGAAUUUCUUCCCAGUAUCAAUUUAAAAUCUGUCCUCUUUCAGUUUUAAAGUCAUUCCCCUCGGCCUGCCACUACAUGCCUUUGCAAAAAGUCCCCCUCCAGCUCUCUCACAGGCCCCCGCAGGUAGUGGAAGUCUGCUCCGAGGCCUCCUCCAGGCUGACCGCAGCUCUCUGAGGAGAUGACUCUGUUGUUUCUUUGUGGAGCUGCUCCGUGCCUCAGCUGCACCCUCUAGUCAGCACAGCUCUGUCUGUCCCCGUGAUGGACUGGAGAGCUCGCUGGACUCUUCUGGGGAGCAGCAGCCAGACCCUGCCUGCAAACCAUCUUCCAGAGCAUCCCCCCGCCCCUCCCGUGGCCAUCCAAUGCCUGUGACAUGCUGGGACUCCUGGCAGACAAGAACACAGUGAACAUCAUGCUUAGCCCUCUCUCAGAAGGCCUGAAUGUUAUUACCAAGAUGGAAGCACAUUUAAGAAAAGAAGUGGCAGAACUGGAGAAACUGGCACUGGACACGUACCCUGUGGCAACUGAAAUAAAGGAAAUCAUCUCAAAUGCAGAAAGUUUCAACACACUUACUGAAUUUCAGAGUCAGAUUCUGACUGUGGAGGAAAACCUUUGUUAGAACAUGUGGAAUGAGAAGAAUCUGCAUAACAAGAUGACAUAGGAAAGACUGGAGAUGGAUGGGAUUGUUUGAACUAGACCACCUUAAGCAGGUUCCCAGCUGUAGCAAAGGGCUGGCAGCACCCUGAAGAAUCUAAGUGCUGAAAUCUGCUUCUAGCAAAGUGUUUUUGGGAGCUGCUGUCCAUGAUGUGCCUCCAUGCUGUAACUGUUGAGCCCAGCCUGUGUCCAAGCGUGCGGCUUAGGUGAAGUUUGUUCAUAUGCUACUGGUGUGAAAGGAAAGAGCCACAUACUGGGAGCUGGCUGCUCCUCAGAACUGAGCCCUUUACCUGCCAGCUGUCCUCAGAUGGCACACACAACACUGUGAUACUGGCAUACACAACAAAUAAAUAAAGAACAACUUCCAACUCCAGAUUCUCAGCAAAAUUA